UACAGAGGGGGCAAGCGUUGUUCGGAAUUAUUGGGCGUAAAGGGCGCGUAGGCGGCUUUUCAAGUGACGGGUGAAAUCCCUCGGCUUAACCGAGGAACUGCCUGUCAGACUGGAAGGCUUGAGACCGGGAGAGGUGAGUGGAAUUCCCAGUGUAGCGGUGAAAUGCGUAGAUAUUGGGAGGAACACCAGUGGCGAAGGCGGCUCACUGGACCGGAACUGACGCUGAGGCGCGAAAGCGUGGGUAGCAAACAGG
rnacentral:rRNA from 1 species